rnacentral:tRNA from 1 species
ACCUUUGUGGUGUAGUGGUCAGCACGCUCGACGUGUAACUGAGAGGUUUGUGGUUCGAUUCCCGGCGAAGGCG